rnacentral:rRNA from 1 species
CAGUCGCCACGGUAAAACGAAGGGGGCUAGCGUUGUUCGGAAUUACUGGGCGUAAAGCGCACGUAGGCGGAUAUUUAAGUCAGGAGUGAAAUCCCAGAGCUCAACUCUGGAACUGCCUUUGAUACUGGGUAUCUUGAGUAUGGAAGAGGUGAGUGGAAUUCCGAGUGUAGAGGUGAAAUUCGUAGAUAUUCGAAGGAACACCAGUGGCGAAGGCGGCUCACUGGUCCAUUACUGACGCUGAGGUGCGAAAGCGUGGGGAGCAAACAGGAUUAGAUACCCCAGUAGUCCCUGUCUCUUAUAC